rnacentral:misc_RNA from 1 species
AGCAGCCGCGGUAAUUCCAGCUCCAAUAGCGUAUAUUAAAGUUGUUGCAGUUAAAAAGCUCGUAGUUGAAUUUCGGGAUCAAUAUGUUGGUCGUGCCUCGGUACGUACUAGCAUAUUGGUUUCUCCUUUCUGAAGAACCAUGAUGCCAUUUAUUUGGUGUCGUGGGGAAUCAGGACUGUUACUUUAGAAAAAUUAGAGUGUUUAAAGCAGGCUCACGCUUGAAUACAUUAGCAUGGAAUAAUGAAAUAGGACGUUUGAUUCUAUUUUGUUGGUUUCUAGGAUCGACGUAAUGAUUAAUAGGGAUAGUUGGGGGCAUUAGUAUUCAAUUGUCAGAGGUGAAAUUCUUGGAUUUAUUGAAGACUAACUACUGCGAAAGCAUUUGCCAAGGAUGUUUUCAUUAAUCAAGAACGAAAGUUAGGGGAUCGAAGACGAUCAGAUACCGUCGUAGUCUUAACCAUAAACUAUGCCGACUAGGGAUCGGAUGAUGUUAAUUUUUAAUGACUUCGUUGGCACCUUAAC